AUAGAUCUACAGGACACACUCUCCUUAGGCUUAGAUGAAUUACUGACUGUUUCUCUUCAGGAAACUUACAGUUCUAACAUGUUCGGAGACGGUUUACUGUCUGAUUCUCAGAUUCUUUAACAAACCAUAUCGGUUACAGGGUUCCAUAGGUUGUUAGGUCUUGCGUGCUGCCCUUGUGGACACAACACACUGCCCUGGCCGCGUUACUCCGCAGCUGUCCACUGAAGAGUGGCGACCUGUUUAGUUGUGCACGACGGAGGCCGGAGCCCGAGGCCUUAGCGCCACUGAUUGUCCCGGUAUCUCUACCACAAACGAGGGGAGCCCGCAACGUAUCUGCACUCACCUGUUCUGCCGUCACUCGCCAUCAGUCAGAAUAGAUCUACGUCCUCCACUGCAGCAAGCAGUCAGCCAAUCACACAGUGCAGUGCGCUAACGUCACAUCCAGUCACGUGACAGGUCCCGGUCGCAUUGCAUUGCAUUGGUGACUGCACUGCCUUCUUCUACCCUGUACUGUAGUGUACUGAGUGACUGUAGCCAUGCACAUGCACAUUACAUUUCCAGAGCCUGGCAGAAAGAGAGUCACCAUGGAGUUCUAUGGCUCUGAAACUGUAGCCACGCUGAAGAAACAGCUGGCGUUUCUGCAAGGCUGGCCUAUGGACCAUGUGGCUGAUAUGAACGUCCUGUUCGACUCACACCUGCUUGAAGACUCCAAGACCAUGGAUCAUUAUCAGAUCUACCAUGGUGCGGAGCUGGAGCUGCACUCCAAUCGGGUCAUCAGCAGAUCUGGACAAUUGGAGAUGGAGCCAUUGGUGCCCAAGAGAAAGUAUGGCUUUCGCUCGGUGUGCUGCUUGUGCGCUCCAUGAGCAGAUCAUCACUUUGUGAUGCACAUUGGAUUCUGCAUGUAUGAUACAAGUACUACUUCGAAGUAAAAGAAACGGAUGUCCAUGCCAGAUGAAUGUGCUGAAAGCAUAAUAAUUAUAAUUUCAUCUCCUAUCCUCUCAUCUCUCCAUUUCAUCUCUCCCGUUCCAUCCUAAGGUAUGGCCCCUCCGUGGGCUGUCUCAGCCUGUCUGUCGAUGCGUUUUAACUUAUAAGCAACUGCUAACGACUAUUGUUGUGCGUUUAUUUACACACACACGCGCUGCUCGUGAUUGCACGCUGUGCCUGCAACCUGCUGCGCGACCUCAGCAAUGUUUGUGAUCGUACACUCUAUAGCACGAUCUUGCUAUACUGACUAAACUUCUCUUUCUUACACCGUGCCUGGUAACGGUACAGUGUAACAUUGUUAGUAAAGUUAUACAAUGCCAACUGAUUGCACAUCAACUUACUUAUUCGUAUGAUUUGCGCCAUGAUACAGUCAUUUACACGUUCCACUCCAGUCAUUCGCACCUUUUAGAUUUGCGCCAUGAUGCAGUCAAUUACGCUUUUAUUUUGAGGGUACUUCAGUACAUAUAAACCAGUACUGAUCCAGAUAAUAUACUCAUCACUGUUUUCUGAAAAGCUUUUUCCAUCCUCUUCUUGUUUGUUUGUUUGUUAUUCGUAUGACUAGAUUUUUACUUGGGCAGGCCCCACAGCUAUGUCUUCGAUUGAUAUAAUUAUGUUAUGCUCCAUGAUAAGGACAGCAUUACACUACAUGUACAUUUACAUAGCUAAUAUGCCUCAUCACUCAAAUCUCAAAGUUAUAGUCAGUGACACUGAGGUCGCUAGAUCACUGGCCUUUACACCUUGUA